AUUGAACGCUGGCGGUAUGCUUAACACAUGCAAGUCGAACGGCAGCAUGGUCUGUAGCAAUACAGACUGAUGGCGAGUGGCGGACGAGUGAGUAACGCGUAGGGAUCUGCCUUGUAGAGGGGGAUAACCCGGGGAAACCCGGGCUAAUACCGCAUAAUACUCUGAGGAGGAAAGCUAGCCCGCAAGGGCCGGCGCUACUAGAGGAACCUGCGUCCGAUUAGUUAGCUGGUGAGGUAAAGGCUCACCAGGGCGAUGAUCGGUAGCUGGUCUGAGAGGAUGACCAGCCACACUGGGACUGAGACACGGCCCAGACUCCUACGGGAGGCAGCAGUGGGGAAUAUUGGACAAUGGGGGCAACCCUGAUCCAGCAAUACCGCGUGUGUGAAGAAGGCCUUCGGGUUGUAAACUUCUUUUAUUUGGGACGAAAAAGGGCCUUUCUAGGUCAACUGACGGUACCAGAUGAAUAAGCACCGGCUAACUCCGUGCCAGCCGCCGCCGUAA
rnacentral:rRNA from 1 species